rnacentral:rRNA from 1 species
UACGUAGGUGGCAAGCGUUGUCCGGAUUUAUUGGGUUUAAAGGGUGCGUAGGCGGCCCUGUAAGUCAGUGGUGAAAUACUAUAGCUUAACUAUAGAGGUACCAAUGAUACUGCAGGGCUUGAGUACAGAUGAGGUAGGCGGAAUUGACGGUGUAGCGGUGAAAUGCAUAGAUAUCGUCAAGAACACCGAUAGCGAAGGCAGCUUACUGGGCUGUAACUGACGCUGAUGCACGAAAGUGUGGGGAUCAAACAGG